rnacentral:tRNA from 1 species
AAAUAAGAAGCAAACAUGCAUUUAAUUUCGACUUAAAAGUUAGAGUAAAAUUAUUACUCCUUAUUUA